CCUACGGGUGGCAGCAGUGGGGAAUAUUGGACAAUGGGGGGAACCCUGAUCCAGCCAUGCCGCGUGUGUGAAGAAGGCCCUCGGGUUGUAAAGCACUUUCAGUGAGGAAGAACGCCUGGUGGUUAAUACCCAUCAGGAAAGACAUCACUCACAGAAGAAGCACCGGCUAACUCCGUGCCAGCAGCCGCGGUAAUACGGAGGGUGCGAGCAUUAAUCGGAAUUACUGGGCGUAAAGCGCGCGUAGGUGGCUUGAUAAGCCGGUUGUGAAAGCCCCGGGCUCAACCUGGGAACGGCAUCCGGAACUGUCAAGCUAGAGUGCAGGAGAGGAAGGUAGAAUUCCCGGUGUAGCGGUGAAAUGCGUAGAGAUCGGGAGGAAUACCAGUGGCGAAGGCGGCCUUCUGGACUGACACUGACACUGAGGUGCGAAAGCGUGGGUAGCAAACAGGAUUAGAUACCCCAGUAGUC
rnacentral:rRNA from 1 species